CAGAAAAAGAAGAAAGAAACUAUAAUAGACAGCUUUUUACUCAGAAAAUGGAACAGAGGGGGAGAAACCAGCAAACGAUAAACCAGAAAUCCCAGCGAAUUGGAUACAGGCUGUGGAAGAACUCAAAACACAACUAAGAGAGGAUGAAGACAAUUGGAAAAAGAACUUAAAAAUUAAGAUAAGUCAUCUGGAAACAGAGGCACUUGAACUAAAACGAGAAAACAGUGUCUUGAAAGCCAAAAUCAACCAGCUGGAAAAUGAGGCAAAGGAGAUGAAAGAUGAGGCAAUGGAGAUGAAAGACGAGGUAAAGAGGAUGAAAGAUGAUCUUCAAAGAAAAUCAGACCAGAAUGCAAAGGAAGACCAAAAAGCCAGAGAUGAAAUCCAAUCUUUAAGAACCAGAAUACAACUGGAAUUAAGUGACCUCACAAGGCAGCAGGACACUAUAAAACAAAACAAAAAGAAUGAAAAAAUUGAGGGAAAUGUGAAGCAUCUCAUUCACAAAACAGAUGAUUUAGAAAAUCGUUCAAGAAGAGACAAUUUAAGAAUAAUUGGACUACCAGAAGACCACAACAAAAGAAAAAGCCUGGACAUAAUACUUGAGGAAAUUAUCCAGGAAAACUGUCCCGAUAUCCUAGAACAAGAGGGGAAAGUGGAGACUGAAAGAAUCCACAGCUCACUCCCUGUAUUUAAUCCCCAACUGACAACACCAAGAAAUGUUAUAACCAAAUUCAAAAACAAUCUAAUGAAAGAAAAGAUAUUACAAGCUGCCAAGAAGAUACCAUGGAAACACGAUGAGGUUAACACAGGAUCUGGCUGCAUUCACACUGAAGGACCGAAAGGCAUGGAAUACAAUAUUCCAGAAAGCAAGGGAACUAGGUCUACAACCAAGAAUAAAAUAACCAUCAAAACUGACUAUAUUCUUACAGGGGAAAGUAUGGUCAUUCAACACAACAGAAAAGUUCCAAGCAUUCAUAAAUAAAAGACCAGACCUGAACAGAAAAUUUGAUGUCCAAC
rnacentral:lncRNA from 1 species